rnacentral:rRNA from 1 species
GAUGAACGCUAGCUACAGGCUUAACACAUGCAAGUCGAGGGGCAGCAUGAACUUAGCUUGCUAAGUUUGAUGGCGACCGGCGCACGGGUGCGUAACGCGUAUCCAACCUUCCCGUUACUCAGGUAUAGCCUUGCGAAAGUAAGAUUAAUCCCUGAUGAUAUAUGUUUACUGCAUGGUGAGCAUAUUAAAGAUUUAUCGGUAACGGAUGGGGAUGCGUUCCAUUAGGUAGUUGGUGAGGUAACGGCUCACCAAGCCCGCGAUGGAUAGGGGUUCUGAGAGGAAGGUCCCCCACACUGGAACUGAGACACGGCCCAG